rnacentral:rRNA from 1 species
AUUGAACGCUGGCGGCAGGCCUAACACAUGCAAGUCGAACGGCAGCACAGAAGUGCUUGCUCUUUGGGUGGCGAGUGGCGGACGGGUGAGUAAUGUCUGGGAAACUGCCCGAUGGAGGGGGAUAACUACUGGAAACGGUAGCUAAUACCGCAUAACGUCGCAAGACCAAAGUGGGGGACCUUCGGGCCUCACACCAUCGGAUGUGCCCAGAUGGGAUUAGCUAGUAGGUGGGGUAAUGGCUCACCUAGGCGACGAUCCCUAGCUGGUCUGAGGGGAUGACCAGCCACACGGGAACUGAGAAACGGUCCAGACGCCUACGGGAGGCAGCAGUGGGGAAUAUUGCACAAUGGGCGCAAGCCUGAUGCAGCCAUGCCGCGUGUAUGAAGAAGGCCUUCGGGUUGUAAAGUACUUUCAGCGGGGAGGAAGGCGGUGAGGUUAAUAACCUUGCCGAUUGACGUUACCCGCAGAAGAAGCACCGGCUAACUCCGUGCCAGCAGCCGCCGUAA